ACUCUACACAGUUCUUCCUGACUUUUCUCUUUCUCUUUCUCCUCUUCCUCCUCCCCUUACUCCUCUUUCUUGUUCCUAAGAAACCAUAGGGUCAGCAGUUUUGCUUUGUCUUUCAUUUACUGUCAUAGUUUGCUACUUCAUUACAGGUCCCAGAGCAACAGUAAUCUUGGCCCAUGUGCUGAACAUCUCAAAGCAAAUAGUCACGACAUAAGUUGGUUCUCUUGAGGUCCUAUUAUCAAGUGGAAGGGCACCACAUAACGUUGCCAUUCAACAGUAAGCUUGAGAGACUAACUGUAGGUAAUAAUAUGGAAAAGUAUCUAUGGUCGAUCUAAUGAAGAUGUCUGGAAUAUCUUAAAGCAGCCAACAAGGAAAGCUUAUGACACUAUACAGAUCAUAAGGGGCAGCUAUGGUAAUGGCAUAAAAGCUCAGAACCCUAGGUGGAAUCCAGAUGGUGCUGGUUAUAGUGAGGUUUUAGAUGAAACAAACUUUAUUGAAAUUGGACAAUUCGUGACUUCAUGAAACAAAGGAAAUGUUAAAGUAGUAUAACAUUCAGGCUACAGUGUGACUAGGAAUGGGUAUUUUGUUUGUUUCUUUGUUUCGUACUCACAUAUCCUUUCAAAAGUUUGAAUACAAAAAAGAAGAAAGAGUUGGAAAGGUUACAGCUUGGCCAAAGAAGAAGCAUAGACACAUAACAAUGCAUCCAAGGUUACCAUUAAGGCUGAUAUAUUUAAGGAAAUAAUCCAAGUGAUUUUCACCAGAAUAAUCCAGAGAUUCUCUGAAUGAAAUCAGUUCAUAUAUCUCAGUCUUAGUUUGCUUUCACAGUCUUAUAUGGAUAGAAAGCCCGAUAGUGUAACAAACCUCCCAGAGAUUCAGACUCAUUCCUUCUAGUUCAGAUCACUAGGGCUGAGAGGGCAUUGCUGUCCUGAUUUAAUCAAGCCCAUGUACAGCUUGAACUUGUGGUGGGCCUUGGAGUUCACAGCUGAGGUAAUCUUGAGUCCCAAAGACUUUAAACGUGAAGUUCUGCACCCUUGAUUUUGGAGACCCUUGAAGGGGCAUGAGUUGCUUCUUAUUUUGUGAGAUGAACAUGAGACUCUGGAGGCCUGAAGCAGAACUCCACACUUUGCAUCUUCAAAGUCCUUCAAAGGUCCAGAAAGUUAUUUCCCAGGAUUGUGCUGUUGAGAGACUGUGGCAGCUUCCAGAGUAUAGAUAAACUUGUACAGACUGAAGCCUAGAAGGGGAAGGGAAGGUGUGAAUAAGAAUGGAACAUUCAUGUUUUGCUAAAUAGGUGACUUUCUUAAUCCAAAGAAAAUGAAUUUCCCAGGAUCCUCUACAGCAAUUAUUAUCACCUGUUAAUUUCUAACCAAUAAAAUAUACAG
ensembl:lncRNA